GGUCGGAGUAAAAAUUCAAUU
rnacentral:piRNA from 1 species